rnacentral:rRNA from 1 species
GAUGAACGCUGGCGGCGUGCCUAAUACAUGCAAGUCGAGCGAACAGACGAGGAGCUUGCUCCUCUGACGUUAGCGGCGGACGGGUGAGUAACACGUGGAUAACCUACCUAUAAGACUGGGAUAACUUCGGGAAACCGGAGCUAAUACCGGAUAAUAUAUUGAACCGCAUGGUUCAAUAGUGAAAGACGGUUUUGCUGUCACUUAUAGAUGGAUCCGCGCCGCAUUAGCUAGUUGGUAAGGUAACGGCUUACCAAGGCAACGAUGCGUAGCCGACCUGAGAGGGGUGGCCGGCAAACGGGAACGUGGGAACGGGCCCAGCCUCCGCGGGGAGGCAGAAGAGGGGAUGCUUCGGAAAGGGGGAAAAGCCGGAGGAAGCAAGGCGGGGUGAGGAAUAAGGGUUUGCGGAUCGAAAACCUUUGUUAUGGGGAAAAAAAAAAGGGGAAAUAAAUUAGGCACGUCUGGAGGGAACAUAAGAAAAAAGCCCCGGCUAACUACGUG